rnacentral:rRNA from 1 species
GACGAACGCUGGCGGCGUGCCUAACACAUGCAAGUCGAACGGAAAGGCCGUGGCUUGGUGGGGUGGUCGAGUGGCGAACGGGUGAGUAACACGUGAGUAACCUGCCCUUGACUUUGGGAUAACUUCAGGAAACUGUGGCUAAUACCGGAUAGGAGUUCAUGUUGCAUGGCGUGGGUUGGAAAGUUGCGGUGGUUGCGGUAGGACUCGCGGCUUAUCAGCUUGUUGGUGGGGUAGUGGUUUAGCAUGGCUUAGACGGGUAGCCGUCCUGGGAGGGUGACAGGCCACAGUGGGACUGAGAUACGAGCCAGAGGCAUACGGGAGGAAGGAGUGGGGAAUAUAGCACAAUAGGCUGAAGCCGGAUACAGCAACGCCGCGUGCGAGAUGACGGCCUUCAGGUUGUAAACCGCUUGCGCCUGUAACGAAGCGUGAGUGACGGUAACGGAUAAAGAAGCACCGGCUAACUACGUG